GCCUGCCCCGGCCGUGUGGCCGCUGCGCUCCGGGUCUGGUCCCGGCCCCGCCUGCCCCCGGCCGUGUGGCCGCUGCGCUCCGGGUCUGGUCCCGGCCCCGCCUGCCCCCGGCCGUGUGGCCGCUGCGCUCCGGGUCUGGUCCCGGCUCUGCCUGCCCCGGCCGUGUGGCCGCUGCGCUCCGGGUCUGGUCCCGGCCCCGCCUGCCCCCGGCCGUGUGGCCGCUGCGCUCCGGGUCUGGUCCCGGCCCCGCCUGCCCCGGCCGUGUGGCCGCUGCGUCCCGGGCGUCCGUGCGCAGGCGGCGCGGCGAGGAUGGGCGAACCGGAGGCGAUGGAGCUGGAGCGGGAGGAGGACGAGAGAAGUAAUAGUGAAGACACUGCCUAUACCUUCCGAAUGAGUGAGAGCCUGAGUAGCAGAGAGACCAGCUUUCUCAUCAAUGAAGAACCGACGCCCGCAAAGCGAUUCAAUUUGUUCCUGAGGCGACGUCUUAUGAGAAAGCAUGGAAUCAGUGUGUGAAAGAAAGAAUAAAGGAAGGAGGGACAAACAGGGAAGCCAGAUGGCAGAAUCCAGCCUGAAAGGGGACGUACAGCGUCCCUCUCUACUGUGACAUCCAGAGACGAAAGAGAACACAGAGCAACCCGAAGGCAUCAGUAAGAGGAGGGGUGGAUAAAUUGUACUCCUCUGAGAUUAAGUGAAAUAAAGUCUUGAUUUACUCCACCAUUUGACUGUAAAUCAAGAACAUGAUUCUGAGGUAAAAAUCAUUGUCAUGAAAUU
rnacentral:lncRNA from 1 species